CAAGGGACUCGACAACGUGGUA
rnacentral:siRNA from 1 species